UGGGGAAUAUUGGACAAUGGGGGCAACCCUGAUCCAGCAAUGCCGCGUGUGUGAAGAAGGCCUUCGGGUUGUAAAGCACUUUUAUCGGGAACGAAACAUUGUCGGCCAAUACCCGGCAAGACUGACGGUACCCGAGGAAUAAGCACCGGCUAACUCCGUGCCAGCAGCCGCGGUAAUACGGAGGGUGCAAGCGUUGUCCGGAUUUAUUGGGCGUAAAGGGCUCGUAGGCGGCGUGUCGCGUCGGGAGUGAAAGCCCGCUGCUUAACGGCGGGUUGGCUUCCGGUACGGGCAUGCUGGAGUGUGGCAGGGGAGACUGGAAUUCCUGGUGUAGCGGUGGAAUGCGCAGAUAUCAGGAGGAACACCGGUGGCGAAGGCGGGUCUCUGGGCCAUUACUGACGCUGAGGAGCGAAAGCGUGGGGAGCGAACAGGAUUAGAUACCC
rnacentral:rRNA from 1 species